rnacentral:rRNA from 1 species
UAAUAGUGUAUAUUAAAGUUGUUGCAGUUAAAAAGCUCGUAGUUGAAUGUUGGUGUCGAACGAGCGGUCAGCUUCGGCUGUACUGCUCUCUCGACUCCUUCCUUCUGUGGACUACGUCGCACUUUACUGUGUGGCGCUAGGACGCAGAUCGUUUACUGUGAAAAAAUUGGAGUGUUCAAAGCAGGCCGUACGCUUGAAUACAUUAGCAUGGAAUAAUGGAAUAGGACGUCGGGCCUAUUUUGUUGGUUCUAGGACCGUCGUAAUGAUUAAUAGGGACAGUUGGGGCCGUUUAUAUUCCGUAGUCAGAGGUGAAAUUCUUGGAUUUACGGAAGAUAAACUACUGCGAAAGCAUUCGGCAAGGAUGUUUUCGUUAA